rnacentral:rRNA from 1 species
UUUAAGGUUUAAUCUGCCCAAUGAGGAAUUAAAUGGCCGCGGUAUUUUGACCGUGCAAAGGUAGCAUAAUAAUUAGUUUUUUAAUUGAAAGCUGGAAUGAAUGAUUGAACGAGAAAAUAGCUGUCUCAAUUUAAUUUUUUUAGAAUUUUAUUUUUAAGUAAGAAAGCUUAAAUAUUAUUAAAAGACGAGAAGACCCUGUAGAGUUUUAUGAUUAAAUAAAUUAUUAAUUUUUUAGUAUUAUUUUAUUAAUAUUUUUUUAAUUAUUUUGUUGGGGCGAUAGAAAAAUUUAAUAAACUUUUUUUAAAAUUAUUUUCAUUAAUUUAUGUUUUUAUGAUCCAUUAUUUAUGAUUAGAAGAUUAAGUUACCUCAGGGAUAACAGCGUAAUUUUUUUUUAGAGUUCUUAUCGAAAAGAAAGUUUGCGACCUCGAUGUUGGAUUAAAAUUAAUGCCAGGUGUAGAAGUUUGGUAAUUGGGUCUGUUCGACCUUUAAAAUUUUACA